ACCUGGCUGGCUCAGUUGGUAGAGCAUGUGACUCUUGAUCUUGGGGUGGUGAGUUCAAGCCCCAUGUUGGGGG
rnacentral:tRNA from 1 species